UUUUAAUUUUUUUACCGCGUGGUGAAGAAAUAUGUGGAGAAGCAAGGAAAAAUUAAAAUGGAGGACAUUUUUUAUCAAACUUUAUACCUUUAUUGGAAGGUAAUAUGCUUUAUUUAAUAUCAAACCUUAUAGUAGAGUACUUAGAUUGCCAAUAUAGAUGGAAAUUUAGGACAUCGAGCCCGAAUUUAAUGCCAGAUUUCGACAUAAAGUUUGUGCUUUUGCUUUGCACGUGGUUCGAUUUUCUAUAAGCGAUUGUCGAACUUUAAACCAAUUUUAAUUCAUAAUUAUUGUCGAUCAAGUGAGUAAAAAGACUAACUAAGAUCAAGAAAUGUUUAAAUUGUUUAAGAAAAUUUUGAUAUUAUUAAAAUGCCAUAUACAGAGACGAGGCGCUUGAUGGGACGAAUAUUUCAAAAUAUUUUUACAAUAUGGCCAGAGUGAAUUUGAGGGUGUAUUUCCGAAAGAUCUUCGGCGCAGAACAGCGGCUCGAACAAAGUUUGGCGCAAAUUUUUGGCGCAGAUUGAUCGCAAUUAUUGAUUUGGCGCAGAAUGAUCAGGCAAAGAUUUCAUGAAGCAAUUGACCAUUUAUGUAAUAGUAUAUUUGAAAUUAUGAUUUGAGAAGAAUGAAAAGCCAAAUUUCGAAAAUUCGGCGAAAAUUUCGGAUAUUUCCGAAAACCGCAUAUUUUUUCGCGACAAUUUUCUUGGCGCAGGUUUUGGCGCAGCUUUACAUGAAUUCGAAAAUCUUUGGCAUAGGCUUGGGCGGUUUACCGGUUUUUCGUUUUUUUCCGGUUUUAUUUUUAAACCGGUUUUUUCGGUUUAGCUUUUACAAAAACCGGAAAACCGUCAUUACGAAAUUGUUUACUGUCAACGCCCGAAACUCGAUCCUAAUUCUCAAAACAUGACACUAAUUAAACACAAUUACAUGACACUAGAUACAAAUUAUGUUCUUUUCCCGUAAAGUCGGUAAGAACUAAAGAGGUAUAAGUUUUCAAAUGCGUUCUUGACCCUUUUAUUUUAAAACCGAAGUCGUUUUAGGUUACCUUUACACAAUUUUGCAUUUUGUCAUGUUCUGUUCGUUUGUGCUUAUGUCAAAAAAAUACCACAAUUCCUCCUCAUUCAGUUGAAAUACAAAUUAAAGGGAAAAACCGGUUUUCCGGUUUUACCGGUUUAGAAUCAGACGGUUUUUCGGUUUUGAUUUUAAGCAAAACCGCCCAAGCCUACUUUGGCACAUCUUAAGCUCAUCUACUCCAGGCCCAAAAAUUUGCACUAGUAGCAUAUUUUUGACAUGGGCUGGCAAGGAUUCAGAGAAUGCUAAAAAAUUAAAAGCAUAUUAAGUUGACUAUUGGGACAGCAGAUACCUGAAGUUGAAAUGAAGUUGGAAAAAAAUUCCAAUCAAAUUUUACCAUUUCCAAUUGGUCAGCAUUUUUCGAAUCUAUUUUGAACAUUAUGCACUAGUCAUUUGAAAUACCGACCCCCAGGACUAAGUGGGGUUUUAGCAGGGGAAAUACAGGAUUUUAACAAACAUUUUCUAGUAGCCGGGGUCUUAACACUAGCAAGAAGCAGUGGGGCACAUGUGCUGGGUUUCAACUACCAGGUUUUAACCACCAUUUUAACAUGCGCUUGGAGUAGAGUCUGAGAACUAAUUAAUGUAUCGCAUGUUUUUAUGGUCCAACAUGGACAUUGAAGAUGACUUUCAGACGAUCUUUUCUUAUUCAAUAUUCACUUUAUUUUCUAAUUUCUACUGUGAAAAUCAGAGGAAAUUGAACCUAAAACCUUCAAUUUCAUCUCGGAGAUGGGUUUUUCAAGACUUUCAAUAACUGAAUUGUAUUUUUGAGCCAGGUUUUUUAAAUUAAGUUCAUGAAAUGUUAAAAUCCCUGCAUGGUCCCAGGCAGGCCUGCAUAAUAGGCCUGAGGUUUGCAGAAAAAAAUGGAGGGUUAAACUUAAAAGACUCAAAAGAAAGAAAGGAAGAAAAUAAGAAAAAAUGACAUAAUUGAAUAAUAAGCUGUAGGUAGUGAACUGGUGAUGUUUGCAACAUGCAAGUAAUACAAGUUUCCAAUAUACCGGUAUAGGAGGCUCUCCAGCAGCCUGAUACUAUGGUCAAAGACAGGCAGACAGCAGUCUAGCAGAUAUUAAGAUGAAAUCCUCUAUGCAGUUAUAAUUGAUUUCAUCUAGUAUAUUAGCUACUUCUGAAAAUACCACUCCAGUUAUAUAAUGAAUACAACUCAUUUAACAACUACCAUAUGUGGAUUAAAAAGUCUAUGAGUGUGGUGAUUUCUUACAAUGUAGUAAAAAAUCUAAGCAAUAUGGUCCAAUACACAACAGCCUUCCGCCCUUCUCAUGAACUUUCAUCCAUUAAAUUAAGAUGAUAUUCAUAACAAAUAUAUUAAAAAUAUAAGAAUCUAGAAUCUUAAACUGCAGACAGUUCCCAUUGGUCAUUAAAAUGUAAAUGUUUGUUGUUAAAUUAAAAUAUAAAGAAUAUUUAUUCUGUAGCCAUGUUGAAAUACGUCUACCCUGCUGGCAGUGGUUUCGGAGCUGAGGAGAAACCACUGUGAGCAAACAAACGACUUUCUAUCGAGCAUGCACAAAGAUCACAGGGUGGGACAAUACUAAUUUGACUUCAUUUGCUGUAGUUUGACAGUUUGUUAUCUGUACGUAAAAAAGUGUGGCAUAGUACUGUUUUCUUUGUUGUCUGUCUGACUUUUUAUUCUACAUGCAGUUUACAAUUUACUACUAAAAGAUUUUGAAAUCGGUGCCUCACCGCUACAAAUUGUGCAUUUGAAUUUCUGUUAUAUCUUUUUCAAUUUUUGUAUUUAUCUGAUCAAUAUCAAUUUUUUAAAUUCGGUCUGCAAACUUUAUUUGUGUUAAGGUUUUCGAUAAAUUCCAAUUUCCAAAGUUUCCAAAUAAUAUAAUAAUAUAAUAAGGUUUCCAAUUAUUGUUGAUUUUGACAAUAUUGCAAUUUUUGAUUGUCGCGACCUCAACCGCUACAAAUUUCAACUGAUGAAAGAUUGUCACGACGGCACUACUAUUUCUGUAAAAGGUGUUGAUUUUUUGUUGCAGUGUGCGAAUUUAUAGUUACUCUGUCGAACUGUAUAGGCGGUUUUCAAGUCAUCUUAAUGUAUAAUUUCAAACAUUUUAUUUAAUUUUAAAGUUAUAAUAUUUUGUAAAAGGUAGUGCAUAUAUGGCUUGUUACUAUAUUUAGAGCGUGAUCAUGUUGUUUUAGUACAACUGGCUCGCAUUUUACUAGCAAUGCCAAUCAGUUACCCAUGCGCACAAUAAGGAAAACUUGUCAAACUUGUUUUACUGGUUUCUCAUUUAAUGUAUUUGUCCAUGAAUCUGGACGGUGGCUACAAUGAAACGAUCAUUCGUUUGCUUGCAGUGGUUUCUCCUAGCAGCUCAGCUAGAAACCACUGCUAGCUGGGUAAAAUACGUCUAUUAUGGUUUCAAAUCUAAUGAAAUGGUGCAUAGAAUACACCGAACCUUGUUUAGUGAUGAUCAAAUUUAACAAAGAUUCACAUUGUUUGCGUGCAGAAAAUAUUUUUGUUGGCUUUGUGGUCCCAGAAAAUAAAAUAUUUUAUGCAGCCCUGAUCUCAGGGGGCAGGGUUUCAAAUGACUAGUGCAGAAGAAACACUAUGUGGUUCAGCUUUCAUAUCCUGAAAAAAGUAGGAUGGGUACAUGUAGCUCAAAUAAACAAUUUUUUUCAAAUAUUUUUUUGCCUUGACAUUGGUCGGCAAUUGCUGUGAUCAGUUGGCAUCCAGGUGAUCUCGUGUUCGUAUUUUAGCCAAUCAGCGCUCAGAAAGGGUUGUCCGAAUAGAAAUCCAUUUUGAUGUAUUCAGUCAAUUAUAUCUUUCGUUAUUCUUUAUGAAGCUAGUUGAAAUUUUGUAAUUAUGUUUGGUUAUGAGAACUAUAGCUCUGACAAAAAUUUGGAAUCGAAAUAAAGUAUAUUACAGGAGAUAUUCAGUUGUUUUAAUCAUAAAAUGGAUUUCUAUUUGACAACUAGUGCCAGUACUUUUCCGAGUAUCAAGAUCACCUGGAUAUUGCCACAGCAUAUAAACAUCUCAAGAAGCAGUAACUGUGGGCAACAGACAGUGUUUUUGUUACUCACAUCUUAUUUAAGUUACAUCAUAAAGCAAACAACAAAAAAUAGGGUACCGUAGGCACUAGGCAGGUAAGCAAACAACCCACAUCUCGAGAAAAAAAUAGAGCAAAGAGAAUAGGGUUGGCUAGAAAACCAGAACCAUAGGAUAUUGUUUUGUUUCAGACUCUGAUGUUUAUAUUACUAGCCAAGCUAUUCACACCCUCGGUAAAAUUCUCAUCAAUUUUUGUAGAUGUACAAAAAAAUUUCCAAGAAUGCCACAACACCUCAUGAUUAUGAAAAAUGGACACGUUCCAGGAUCCUGAAUGAGAGGUAAAUUAUUUUUCUUCUAAUUAUUUCUAACCUUCUCCUUUUAAAUUAUUUCUUGGACAAUUUUUCUUCAUAAUAUAUCAAUUUGUUUCAUGUUCUCAAUAGCGUGUUUUUUUAAUUUUCUAGAUGUGUGUUGCAAUUUCAAAGAAUGUCUCAAGUUGUUGGCCGAAGUGUUUUUGAUCACAAAAAUGAACACUGUCAUUGGAAAGUAUAUAAAAGGUCUUAAUAUUUUCCUGUUUUAUCUUACAUGAAAUGUUUUCAACAUUAUAUGAUUGUCUGUGAUCAAUAGUUUCAAAAAUCCCAGCAGAUUAUUGUAAAAAUAGCAUUGACCAUGUUACUUAUUGCGCAAAAUACAACAAAAGUAAUAAAUACAAUCUUUACACCUAAAUAUGGUGAGUGCACAAUAAUUGCACUCUUUUUAUUCUAUUAUUAC
rnacentral:lncRNA from 1 species